rnacentral:rRNA from 1 species
AACUGAAUCCAUAGGUUAAUGAGGCGAACCGGGGGAACUGAAACAUCUAAGUACCCCGAGGAAAAGAAAUCAACCGAGAUUCCCCCAGUAGCGGCGAGCGAACGGGGAGCAGCCCAGAGCCUGAAUCAGUAUGUGUGUUAGUGGAAGCGUCUGGAAAGGCGCGCGAUACAGGGUGACAGCCCCGUACACAAAAAUGCACAUGCUGUGAGCUCGAUGAGUAGGGCGGGACACGUGGUAUCCUGUCUGAAUAUGGGGGGACCAUCCUCCAAGGCUAAAUACUCCUGACUGACCGAUAGUGAACCAGUACCGUGAGGGAAAGGCGAAAAGAACCCCGGCGAGGGGAGUGAAAAAGAACCUGAAACCGUGUACGUACAAGCAGUGGGAGCACGCUUAGGCGUGUGACUGCGUACCUUUUGUAUAAUGGGUCAGCGACUUAUAUUCUGUAGCAAGGUUAACCGAAUAGGGGAGCCGAAGGGAAACCGAGUCUUAACUGGGCGUUAAGUUGCAGGGUAUAGACCCGAAACCCGGUGAUCUAGCCAUGGGCAGGUUGAAGGUUGGGUAACACUAACUGGAGGACCGAACCGACUAAUGUUGAAAAAUUAGCGGAUGACUUGUGGCUGGGGGUGAAAGGCCAAUCAAACCGGGAGAUAGCUGGUUCUCCCCGAAAGCUAUUUAGGUAGCGCCUCGUGAAUUCAUCUCCGGGGGUAGAGCACUGUUUCGGCAAGGGGGUCAUCCCGACUUACCAACCCGAUGCAAACUGCGAAUACCGGAGAAUGUUAUCACGGGAGACACACGGCGGGUGCUAACGUCCGUCGUGAAGAGGGAAACAACCCAGACCGCCAGCUAAGGUCCCAAAGUCAUGGUUAAGUGGGAAACGAUGUGGGAAGGCCCAGACAGCCAGGAUGUUGGCUUAGAAGCAGCCAUCAUUUAAAGAAAGCGUAAUAGCUCACUGGUCGAGUCGGCCUGCGCGGAAGAUGUAACGGGGCUAAACCAUGCACCGAAGCUGCGGCAGCGACGCUGAUGCGUUGUUGGGUAGGGGAGCGUUCUGUAAGCCUGCGAAGGUGUGCUGUGAGGCAUGCUGGAGGUAUCAGAAGUGCGAAUGCUGACAUAAGUAACGAUAAAGCGGGUGAAAAGCCCGCUCGCCGGAAGACCAAGGGUUCCUGUCCAACGUUAAUCGGGGCAGGGUGAGUCGACCCCUAAGGCGAGGCCGAAAGGCGUAGUCGAUGGGAAACAGGUUAAUAUUCCUGUACUUGGUGUUACUGCGAAGGGGGGACGGAGAAGGCUAUGUUGGCCGGGCGACGGUUGUCCCGGUUUAAGCGUGUAGGCUGGUUUUCCAGGCAAAUCCGGAAAAUCAAGGCUGAGGCGUGAUGACGAGGCACUACGGUGCUGAAGCAACAAAUGCCCUGCUUCCAGGAAAAGCCUCUAAGCAUCAGGUAACAUCAAAUCGUACCCCAAACCGACACAGGUGGUCAGGUAGAGAAUACCAAGGCGCUUGAGAGAACUCGGGUGAAGGAACUAGGCAAAAUGGUGCCGUAACUUCGGGAGAAGGCACGCUGAUAUGUAGGUGAAGUCCCUCGCGGAUGGAGCUGAAAUCAGUCGAAGAUACCAGCUGGCUGCAACUGUUUAUUAAAAACACAGCACUGUGCAAACACGAAAGUGGACGUAUACGGUGUGACGCCUGCCCGGUGCCGGAAGGUUAAUUGAUGGGGUUAGCGCAAGCGAAGCUCUUGAUCGAAGCCCCGGUAAACGGCGGCCGUAACUAUAACGGUCCUAAGGUAGCGAAAUUCCUUGUCGGGUAAGUUCCGACCUGCACGAAUGGCGUAAUGAUGGCCAGGCUGUCUCCACCCGAGACUCAGUGAAAUUGAACUCGCUGUGAAGAUGCAGUGUACCCGCGGCAAGACGGAAAGACCCCGUGAACCUUUACUAUAGCUUGACACUGAACAUUGAGCCUUGAUGUGUAGGAUAGGUGGGAGGCUUUGAAGUGUGGACGCCAGUCUGCAUGGAGCCGACCUUGAAAUACCACCCUUUAAUGUUUGAUGUUCUAACGUUGACCCGUAAUCCGGGUUGCGGACAGUGUCUGGUGGGUAGUUUGACUGGGGCGGUCUCCUCCUAAAGAGUAACGGAGGAGCACGAAGGUUGGCUAAUCCUGGUCGGACAUCAGGAGGUUAGUGCAAUGGCAUAAGCCAGCUUGACUGCGAGCGUGACGGCGCGAGCAGGUGCGAAAGCAGGUCAUAGUGAUCCGGUGGUUCUGAAUGGAAGGGCCAUCGCUCAACGGAUAAAAGGUACUCCGGGGAUAACAGGCUGAUACCGCCCAAGAGUUCAUAUCGACGGCGGUGUUUGGCACCUCGAUGUCGGCUCAUCACAUCCUGGGGCUGAAGUAGGUCCCAAGGGUAUGGCUGUUCGCCAUUUAAAGUGGUACGCGAGCUGGGUUUAGAACGUCGUGAGACAGUUCGGUCCCUAUCUGCCGUGGGCGCUGGAGAACUGAGGGGGGCUGCUCCUAGUACGAGAGGACCGGAGUGGACGCAUCACUGGUGUUCGG